GAUCCUGGCUCAGGAUGAACGCUGGCGGCGUGCUUAACACAUGCAAGUCGAACGAAGCACUCUAUUUGAUUUUCUUCGGAAAUGAAGAUUUUGUGACUGAGUGGCGGGCGGGUGAGUAACGCGUGGGUAACCUGCCUCAUACAGGGGGAUAACAGUUGGAAACGACUGCUAAUACCGCAUAAGCGCACAGGAUUGCAUGAUCCGGUGUGAAAAACUCCGGUGGUAUGGGAUGGACCCGCGU
rnacentral:rRNA from 1 species